rnacentral:rRNA from 1 species
UAAGAGCCCACCAAGGCAGAGAUCGGUAGCCGGCCUGAGAGGGCACACGGCCACACUGGCACUGAAACACGGGCAAAACUCCUACGGGAGGCAGCAGUGGGGAAUCUUGCACAAUGGGGGGAAACCCUGAUGCAGCGACGCCGCGUGAGCGAUGAAGGUGUAAAGCUCUUUCGUCAGGGAAGAUAGUGACGGUACCUGGAGAAGCAGCUGCGGCCCACUACGUGCCAGCAGCCGCGGUAAUACGUAGGCAGCAAGCGUUGUUCGGAGUUACUGGGCGUAAAGGGUGUGUAGGCGGUUCUUUAAGUUCGCUGUGAAAUCUCCCGGCUUAACCGGGAGGGUGCGGUGAAUACUGAGGGACUAGAGUACGGGAGAGGAAAGUGGAAUUCCCGGUGUAGCGGUGAAAUG